rnacentral:rRNA from 1 species
UACGAAGGGGGCUAGCGUUGCUCGGAAUCACUGGGCGUAAAGCGCACGUAGGCGGAUCUUUAAGUCAGGGGUGAAAUCCUGGAGCUCAACUCCAGAACUGCCUUUGAUACUGGAGAGCUCGAGUCCGGAAGAGGUGAGUGGAACUCCGAGUGUAGAGGUGAAAUUCGUAGAUAUUCGGAAGAACACCAGUGGCGAAGGCGGCUCACUGGUCCGGUACUGACGCUGAUGUGCGAAAGCGUGGGGAGCAAACAGG